UGGGAAGGGAAGGAGCAGCACCAACUGCUGAGUACCCCCCUCUGGUCCCCACUCCCUGCACCUUACCUCCCCAGUCGAUCCGGGGGCGGCCCCUCCCCGCUGACGGAGAACCAGAAAGAAGGGCGGGGGAGAGAUGGAGGUUUUUACAGCAUGACAUCAAGGAAGAAGAAAUGGCUAUGAUAUAUAUUACCUAAAAAUCUGGAAAGCCUGGAUUCAAUUUGUGAUUUUAUGACAUUCUAGCUGUAGAACAUUUGGAAUAUCCCAGAUGGCUGAUAGACACAGUGAGAAGGAACAUCUGUUACUGAGAAAUUAGGACAUCAGGAAGACUGGCACACUCUGACUAGAACUUCAGAGGGAAGGCUUUGUGAAUGGAUGGUGAGAGGACACAGAUAUCUGGUUGAAGGGGGAGGAAGCUGGGAACCCUGCACAGGGCUACUGAGCACUGGGAAAUAUUCCUGGCCCCCAGAAACUUCUGGGGGAAAAGUGAGUGCAACAGGAAAGGAGUGGCCCACUCUUACCAUGAACUUCUGGCAUCUUGGUAGUAGGAGACCCCAUAACCCCCAUGGACACUUGAGCUGACAGAGAGCUGCUUAAAGAGGUGCUAGAGACAGGACUUCAUCCUAUGUAGAGCCCAGAGAGUUUAGUAUGGGAACAUAUGCAGUUGAGCACGGCCAGGAAGAUGCAUCCCCCAAGGCUCACCAUGUUCCUGUAGGAGACAUUAGCCUUGGGUUGGCUGUUGGACUCAGACAGAGCAGGGAGGUCUUGCCCAUGAGAUGAGGCAAGUUCUAUCUGAACACAGUUAUGUCUGCUUGCCUCUCGCAGGGCCCCAGCCUGUCCAUGCCCACUUGCCAUGCAGCCUCAGAUGCUCAACCUGAGUGUGAAAUAGGUGCCCUCAUCAUAGCUCCUUUACUGUCAGAUCAUGCCUGAUGUUCAAAGAGCUCUAACAGAGGAGCCUCUGCUGACAUGCACCAGUCCACCAGCACCCUCUCCCCAUUGCAGCGUCCCCUGUGCCACUUUGCAGGCACACACUUGCCCAUGGCCAACCACCCAUUGCUGUGCUGGCAUGGGUGAAUGUGUAGACCUCACCUCCCUUUCCCCACCAGCAUGUGUGUGUGCAUGCACCCUGGCACAUCACUACUGGCAGCAAAAGGAAACCCCUCAUGCUCUACCACUAAUGUGUAGACACGGGCCACACUGCCAUUGCAAGCAUGAAUGUAUGCAUGGAUGCCAGAAACCCUGGUUCUCCUUGUGCUGACACUGCCACUGACACAAACACACACAUGGAUGUGGGCCAGCAUCCUGACUCCCCAUGCUACUACUGCUGUUGCUGUGAAUAUGUGCAUAGAGGUCAAUAGCUUUACAUUGGCCAGCACCCUGCCCCAGCUGCUGCCACCAGUGUGAGAGUGAGCACAGACACCAGCAACCCCAUGCCUGCCACCACUCUGCCUCUCCAUGCCGCUGAUAGCACUGGCAUGAAUGCAUGCAGAAAUGCAGCAUCCUGUUCCUGCCUGUACUCCACCCCAGCCAACAUGCGUGUAUCCUGCCAUACUACCACAGUUGCUAUACUCACAAGCAAGCAUGAAUCCUGCUGCCACUUCCCUGACAAUAUGCUUUGGCUGGCAUCACCCAUUGAAAUGUUCUGGCUAGCAGACUGAGAACACCUCAAUCCCUCUAGUGCAGUAGAUUCCUAACCUUGAAAGGCCAAAGAACAAGGAAAAUGGCCUGGUACCAGCCCCCCAGAGUUAGUGCAUGCAGCCCAGGAGUGCUGAGCUGAGCCAUGGCCCCCUAAAAUCUUCCAGAAUUGAAGCCAGUCAACUGAAUCCACCUUAUACCAAAAUGAAACCCUCAAGGGCAUCAAAGAAGAUAAAAGGAAAGGAAACUCAUCCAAAAGAUACCAUCUUCAAAGACUGAAGGAACAUCAGUUCACACAGAAGAGAAAGAACCAGCACAAGAACUCUGGAAACCCAAGAAGUCAGAGUGUCUGCUAACCUCCAAAUGACUACACAACUUCUUUAGCCAUGGUUCUUAACCAGGCAGAAAUGACUAAAAUUGCAAUGAUAGUGUCCACAAUGUGGACAGAAACAAAAACCACUGAGGUUCAGGAGAAAUUCAAAUCCUAAUGCAUGAAAUAUUCAGAAUACAUGAAAAUGAUACAGGCAAUGAAAGAUGAAAUGAUCGUUAAAAAAAAAAAAACUGAACAGAGCUGAAAAACUCACUACAAGAAUUUUAUGAUACAAUCAGAAGUAUUAACAGCAGAAUUGUCCAAACUGAGGAAAGAAUCUCAGAAUUCAAAGAAUGAUUUUUUGAAAUAACUCAGACAAUGAUUUUAAAAAAGAAUGAAGGAUAAACAAAUACUCUGAGAAAUAUGGGAUAAUGUAAGGAGACUAAAUCUAUGAUUCACUGGUGUUCUUGAAAGAGAGUGAGGUAAAACUAGCAACCUGAAAAUAACUUGAGAAUAUCAUCCAUGAAAACUACCCCAAACUUGCUAAAGAGGCCAAGAUUCAAAUUCAGGAAAUGCAGAGGACCCCUGCAAAACACUAUGCAAGAUGAUCACACCCAAGACACAUAGUCAUCAGAUUUUUUAAGGUUAAUGUGAAAGAAAAUAUGUUAAAGACACCUAGAGAAAAGUGACAAAUCACCUACAAAUGAAACCCCAUCAGGCAGUGGACCUUUCAACAGAACCCUACAAGCCACAGGAGAUUAGAGGCCUAUAUUCAGCAUUAUUAAAGAAAACAAAUUCCAGACAAAAAUUUCAUAUCCAGUCAAACUAAGCUUCAUACCCAAAGGAAAAAUAAGAUACAUUUCAGACAAAAUAAUGUAACUGAAUUUGUUACCUACCACCACAGGAGACUUACAAGAUAUCAUCAAGGGAGUGUUAAAUAUAAAAAGGAAAGACUGUUACUGGCUACCACAAAAAUUCCUUAUGCACAUAGGGCACUGAAACUUUAAAUCAAUCACAGGAUCAAGUCUGCAUAAUAGCCAGCUAACAAGAUGAUGACAGAAUCAAAUCUGCACAUAUCAAUAUUAAACUUGAAUUUAAACAGGGUAAAUGACCAAAUUAGAAGGCACACAGUGGUAAGUUGCAUGAAGAAGCAAGACCCAAUUGUACACAGUCUUCAAGAGACACAUCUCACAUCCAAUGACAUGCCUAGGCACCAAGUAAAGAGAUGGAUAAACAUCUACCAAGCAAAUAAAUAAAAAAUCAGGGGUUGCUAUUCUAAUUUCAGACAAAAAGGAUUAUAAACCAACAAUGAGUUAAAAAAACAAGGGCAUUACAUAAGGGUAAAGGGUUCAAUUCAACAAGAAGACUGAACUUUCUUAAAAAUAUAUGCCACUCAAGAAAGUAGCACCCAGGUUAAUACAGUUAGUCCUUAGAGAUCUAUGUAGAGAUUUAGAUCAUGACAAAAUAAUAAAGAUGGGAACUCUCCACUGAGAGUAUUAGAUAGAUUAUUGGGGCAGAAAACUUACAAAGAUGUUUGAGACAUGAACUCAACAAUUGGCCAAAUGGACCUAACAGACAUCUACAGAACUCUCAACCUCCAAACCAACAGAAUAUGCAUUCUUCUCAUCUGCACAUGGAACGUAUUCUAAAAUCAACCACAUAAUCAGCUAUAGAAAAUUCUCAGCAAAGUCAAAAACAAUAAAAUCAUGCCACCUACAUUCUUGGAUCACAGAGCAACACAAAUAGAAGUCAAUACUAAGAAAACAACUCAAAGCCAUACAAUUACAUGGUAAUUAAACAAAGAAAACCCCAUAGUUUCUGCUCCAAAGCUCCCAGAUCUGAUAAAGAACUUCAGCAAAGUUUCAGCAUACAAAAUCAAUUUAUAAAAAUUAGUAGCAUUCCUAUACUAUAUACCAAUGUCAAAGCUGAGAGCCAAAUCAGGAACACAAUCCCAUUCACAAUAGCCACAAAAAGAAUAAUAUACCUAGGAAUACAAUUAAUGAAGGAGGUAAAAAAUCUUUACUAUAAGAAUUAUGAAACACUGCUCAAAGAAACUGAAGCUGACAAAAACAAGUAAUAAAACAUUCCAUACUUAUGGAUAGGAAGAAUCAGUAUUGUUAACCGAUUCUUCCUAUCCAUAGGUAUGGAAUGGAUACCUACUGCCAAAAGCAAUUUGCAUAUUCAAUACUAUUUCUAACUACUAAUUAUAUCUUUCAGAUAGUUAGAUAAAACUAUUUUAACAUUCAUAUAGAACAAAAAAAAAGAGAGAGAGAGAGAGAGAGAGAGAGCUCAAAGUACAAAGUCAAUUCUAUGCAAAAAGAACAAAGCUAAAGGCAUCAUGUUACCUGGCUUCAAGCUAUACUAUAGAGUUACAGUAACCAAAACAGCAUGGUACUGGUAUAAAAACAAAUACAUAAAUCAGUGGACCAGCAUAGAGAACCCAUAAAUAAGACCACACAGCUACAACUAACUGAGGUUUGACAAAACUGACAAAAAUGAGCAAUGGGGAAAGAAUUCCCUGUUCGACAAAUGGUGCUAGGAUAACUGGCUAGCCAUAUGCUGAAGAUUGAACCUGAACCUAUUCUUUACACUACAUACAUAAUUAAACUGAAGAUGGAUAAAAGUCUUAAAAAUAAGUUCAACCAUUGUGGAAUAAAGUGUGGUGAUUCCUCAAGGACCUAGAAAUAGAAAUUCCAUUUGACCCAGCAAUGCCAUUACUGGGUAUCUAUCCAAGGGAUUAUAAAUCAUUCUAUUAUAAGGACACAUGCAUACGUAUGUUCAUUGCAGCACUGUUUAUAAUAGCAAAGACUUGGAACCAACCCAAAUGCCCAUCGAUGAUAGACUGGACAGGGAAAAUGUGACACAUAUACACCAUGGAAUACUAUGCAGCCAUCAAAAAUGAUGAGCUCGUGUCCUUUGUAGGGACGUGGAUGAACCUGGAAACCAUCAUUCUCAGCAAACUGACCCAGGAACAGGGAAUCAAGCACCGCAUGUUCUCACUCAUAGGCGAGUGUUGAACAACAAGAACACGUGGACACGGAGGGGAGCAUCACACUGAGGU